rnacentral:rRNA from 1 species
GUGCGAAGGUAGCAUAAUCAUUAGUCUCUUAAUUGGAGGCUUGUAUGAAUGGUUGGACAAGAAGCAAACUGUCUCAAACACAAAAAUUGAAUUUGACUUUUAAGUGAAAAGGCUUAAAUAUUUUAAAGGGACGAUAAGACCCUAUAAAGCUUAAUAAUUUAGUAUAUAAUUAGAUGAGUUGAAAGUUUAAUAUUAUUUAUAUACUAAAUUAUUUCGUUGGGGCGACGAUGAUAUAAUUUGUAACUGUUUAAAUUUAAAAUACAGAGAUAUUUGUGUGUAAUGAUCCUUGUUGUUGAUUAAAAAUUUAAGUUACUUUAGGGAUAACAGCGUUAUUUAUUUUGAGAGUUCAUAUCGACAAAAAAGUUUGCGACCUCGAUGUGGGAAUUAAGG